GACGAACGCUGGCGGCGUGCCUAAUACAUGCAAGUCGAACGCAGUGGGUACGGGUGAGUAACACGUGGGUAACCUCCCAUCAGAGGGGAUAACACUUGGAAACAGGUGCUAAACCGAUACUGAUGGAUGGACCCGCGGUGCAUUAGCUAGUUGGUGAUGUAAAGGCUCACCAAGGCCACGACGCACAGCCGAGCUGGGAGGGGGGUCGGCCACACUGGGGCUGAGACACGGCCCCGGGUCCUCCGGGAGGCAGCAGUAGGGAAUCUUCGGCAAUGGACGAAAGUCUGACCGAGCAACGCCACGUGAGUGAAGAAGGUUUUCGGAUCGUAAAACUCUGUUGUUAGAGAAGCGGUAUCUAACCAGAAAGCCACGGCUAACUACGUGCCAGCAGCCGCGGUAAUAC
rnacentral:rRNA from 1 species